UUUUACGGUAAGAUGUGACAAAAACUUGCGGUGUACAAUGAGAUCAGUAAUGCUUCACAACUAGAGUUGGUUCGUGUAGAGCAGUUCGUGAUUAGUGGAGGCUAAUGGAGUUUCACUAUUGGCAGUAUAGCAACGACUGUGAGAUGCAAUGGGUAGAGAACAUGAAAAGGCAAGGGGAAGAAAAAAUAAAAGUGGGAUAUUCGUUUGUCCUUCAACAGAUACUCAUAUCCGUCGACGGAUGUCGGUAUCCGUUGAAGGCCUAACGGAUAUCUCAUUUCCGUUGUGGCCUUUGUAAGAAUCAAAGACAUCAACAACACAACACAUAUUCAAAGCAAACAAACAAUAAUAGAACCUAAAUACACAUACAAAUUAAACUACAUGCAAACAAAGCUAAUGAAAAAAACUAACUUGGAUCGAGACGAAAACAAGCCACAACGAACCUGGAUUGACGCUCCUCCACACCAGGAAUCAACCACCAAUGGAAGCAAUGAAAUCCAAAAAAGAAAUAGGGAAGAGAAGAAUGAACGAAAAUGAAAGGGAAGGAAGAAGAAAGAAGAGGAACUCAAAUGGAAAUGGAAAAGAGAAGAGAGAAUCUGUGAGAGGUAGGGAUGGGAGUGCAGCGAUGUAGUGAAUAAAUGAGGUAGAAUUAUGAUUUUUAAAUAGAUUAAAAAAUCCUAAAGGGUAAAAGUAAUAAAAUUUUAAGCUAAAGGUAGUUUUGAAAAUAAAAGAAUUUGAGAAGAUGCAGGAAGCCGUGCGUGUGUGUAGUAGUGGAAGGAAUAAGAAUCUUUAGAAAAAUUUGGAAAUACAGAAAGAAAAAUUGAAAUUGCAGAAAAAAAAAAAGUCCUUUACUUAUGAUUUGAAGAGGCCCAAAAUAUUAAGAGUCCCCAAUUCAUUCCGCUACGUUACUAUUUGCGAUUUGGGGUGGUCCAUUCACAUUUUCCUUUUCAUUUUUACUCCUAUUAUUUUAUAUUUUGAAAAUUAAUUUUCGAAAUGUAAAAAUGAUAAUUUUGAAAUCUAAUAUUGGAAAUAAGAGAAGAUAUGAAGAGAAAAAUAAAGACUAUAGAAUCAUCCUAAUGUUUGACUUUGUUUCGUGUUGGGCUUGUCAAAAGAUAAAUACAAAGUACAAAAGUCCAAAUAUCUAAACAGACUUUUCUAUAUGUGCCAUUUGUAGGAUACUAUAAUCAUUUCUUCAGUUUUGGUAAGUAUUUCUCAAUAAGAAAGAGAAUAUAUUCUUAAUUC
rnacentral:lncRNA from 1 species